UCUCUGAUUCCGACGCGGUCGCCUCCGCUAGGCUUCGUCCGCUGCCGCUCUGUGAAUCAGCGAGAGCCUCGCCGUCGUCGUGCCCUUGGCUUUUCCCUGCACCUCUGCCUUGGCGACGAGGCGACAAUCACCGCCUCUUGGCCAACCAUACUUCCUCAUGGUUCACCCAUCGGUUUUUGGCUCAACGCUCAUACAAAAGCCGAGUUCUCCCAGCUCGGCCCCACACUAAGGGAGGAACUAUGGAGGGAUGGAGAGAGUUAAGCAAAACUUACCUAUCCGAAACUUGGCAGCUGGAAAAUUGGUUCACUCCUUUGAUUGCUGGUGAACAAAGACUGAAUAAGGGAGUUUGUUGGAUGGCUGACUUAUUGAAGGAGAGAGUUAGCUAAAUGGGAGUAUCUACUCUUCUAUGACAUGCUUGAAAGAUGGGCAGCAGGUGUAGGGUGGCUGAUUGACACUCUAAGUGUACCUUGGCAUGUUUUAAGGGAUGGGGGAGUGGCUUGGUGCAGAUGGAGGUGAAGGUUGUUGUUGCAGCUAUUCUGCACACAGGGCACACAUUUCUUUUUCUUUCUUUUCCUCUCUUUUGUUAGCAGGUAGUGAGUAGGAAAUAGGAAGUAAGUGAUGAUUGUACUAGCUAUGUAGUAGGAGUAAAAGUUGUACUGUAACUAGGAACAAAUCCUUAUGACUUGUAUUCUUUAUGCAUCUGUAAUAUUAA